rnacentral:rRNA from 1 species
GACGAACGCUGGCGGCGUGCUUAACACAUGCAAGUCGAACGGAAAGGCCCUGCUUUUGUGGGGUGCUCGAGUGGCGAACGGGUGAGUAACACGUGAGUAACCUGCCCUUGACUUUGGGAUAACUUCAGGAAACUGGGGCUAAUACCGGAUAGGAGCCCCUGCUGCAUGGUGGGGGUUGGAAAGUUUCGGCGGUUGGGGAUGGACUCGCGGCUUAUCAGCUUGUUGGUGGGGUAGUGGCUUACCAAGGCUUUGACGGGUAGCCGGCCUGAGAGGGUGACCGGCCACAUUGGGACUGAGAUACGGCCCAGACUCCUACGGGAGGCAGCGGUGGGGAAUAUUGCACAAUGGGCGGAAGCCUGAUGCAGCAACGCCGCGUGCGGGAUGACGGCCUUCGGGUUGUAAACCGCUUUCGCCUGUGACGAAGCGUGAGUGACGGUAAUGGGUAAAGAAGCACCGGCUAACUACGUG